UUGGGUAGUUAAGCAAUGAGGAUCACCUCUUUCCAUUCCGAACAGAGAAGUUAAGCUCAUUAUCGCUGAUGGUACUAUAAAUUAUUUAUGGGAGAGUAGGUAGCUGCCCAUA
rnacentral:rRNA from 2 species